AGAAUUUGAUCUGGUCAGGAUGAACGCUAGCUACAGGCUUAACACAUGCAAGUCGAGGGGCAGCAUGGAGCAGCAAUACUCAGAUGGCGACCGGCGCACGGGUGAGUAACACGUAUCCAACCUGCCGCUUACUCGGGGAUAGCCUUUCGAAAGAAAGAUUAAUACCCGAUGGUAUAAAGAGUUCGCAUGUUCUCUUUAUUAAAGAUUUCGGUAAGCGAUGGGGAUGCGUUCCAUUAGAUAGUUGGCGGGUAACGGCCCACCAAGUCUACGAUGGAUAGGGGUUCUGAGAGGAAGGUCCCCCACAUUGGAACUGAGACACGGUCCAAACUCCUACGGGAGGCAGCAGUGAGGAAUAUUGGUCAAUGGACGAGAGUCUGAACCAGCCAAAAGUAGCGUGAAGGAUGACUGCCCUAUGGGUUGUAAACUUCUUUUAUAAGGGAAUAAAGUGAGGGACGUGUCCCUUUUUGUAUGUACCUUAUGAAUAAGGAUCGGCUAACUCCGUGCCAGCCGCCGC
rnacentral:rRNA from 1 species